CCAUGCGCUUAANGUAUGGGCUGCCGGGAAUACUGCAAAGUUAGGGAGUGGGAGAGGUAGACGGUACUCGGUAGGAAGGGGUAAAAUCCUUUGAUCUAUUAAUGACCACCUGUGGNGAAGGCGGUNUACCAGAACACGUCCGACGGUGAGGGAUGAAAGNUGGGGGGGCAAACCGGAUUAGAUACCCGGGUAGUCCCAGCUGUAAACUAUGCAAANUCAGUGAUGCACUGGCUUGAUGCCAAUGCAGUGNUGCAGGGAAGCCGUUAAGUUUGCCGCCUGGGAAGUACGUACGCAAGUAUGAAACUUAAAGGAAUUGGCGGGGGAGCACCACAAGGGGUGAAGCCUGCGGUUCAAUUGGAUUCAACGCCGG
rnacentral:rRNA from 1 species